rnacentral:lncRNA from 10 species
AUGAUGGCUCCUGCAGGGAGUGCCCCCAGUGCCCAGCACAGGGCCAGGCACACAGUGGUGCACGGGAACGUCUGCUGAUGCCCACCCUAAGGCCAAUCAAGGAGCCACGGGGCUGGGUCCUGGUCCUCACAUCCUCUUCCGCAUCUUGCCCUUCUUGGAGCGGGCACCCCGGCCGAAGGCGCCCUGCUGCAGCUCCUGGACGCGGCGGCGGUUGCGGGCAGAGAGCUGCUUGAGGCCACCACGCUGCAGGAAGUGCAGCUUCUGGGCCCGGCGCCGCUGCUUCAGGAUCUGCUGCUUGGUCUUGAGUUCCGGGCGGACUCGGCCUGCAGGGGUGCCUGGGGCGUGGGGCCGGGAUGCACCUG